UGUUGACACGGCGAGGCGAUGCCCCCGUUUGCUUUUGUUUGGGAGGUGUGAAAGAGGGAAUCUGCAUGAGAAAAGCCGGCGGCAACCGCGGAGCUCCGCGCGGCAGCGGCGGGACGGAGUGAACCGCGGCUGCGAUUAAACCCGACCCCCCAAAAAGCCGGUGCCAGCGCAGGAGGGGAAGUGCACGGUGACAACGAAGCGGCGAGCCCCGAGUGUCACAGAGCGGCGACGCUCGGCCGUUUGUGCCACCGCUGCUGUCCCUGCCCGCUCGCACAUCAAAGCACAGCCAACAGAGCUGCCUGCGGGCUGUCCCCACCAGAGCCGGCCGGGACCCCCCGAGAAGAGCUGGGGGUGUCCCCCUGCCCGCCCCAGCGCUCUUUGUCUGCCUCAUCCUCUCCCGCAGCUCCCUCCCCUUCACCCCGCGCAUCCCCGCAUUCCUCCACGCGUGUGCUCACACCCACGGGCCCCAAACCCUCUCUCGGGAUCGCAUCCCCGUGCCACGUUACACGCAGAAAUGAGCCUUGCACACCCAUCUCCUGGCCCUGCCUUCUCUGACGUACCAGGCUCCGGGGGAGCUGAGCCAUCCCUCAGCCCCAUUUUUUACAGCAGGGGAUGGGGUUUGUCUCUCUCUGCACAGCUCGGAGGGCAGAGCCCUUUUUGGGGUGUCCUGGGAGCGGGGAUGGGGCUGGGAGCUGGGCCCGGGGGUGCUGGGCAGGGAUGGGAGAAUUCCCCCAUGGCCUCGGGGUAUGGGAAGGAUGCUCGGGACCUCUCUAACCUCAUCGGCUGCCUAAUGUGCACUUGUGCUGGCCGUGCUCCCACUGUCACUGUCACCCGCGCUGCUUUCUCGGCCCCGCAUUCCCGUCUCUCCAUCCCCGCUUCCCUCUGCUGCCAAAUUCUCGCUGGAAAUGCACACCUGCCUCCCUUCAUCGCAAUCAGGAGCACGAGAACAGCUCCGCUUGCUCUGGUUGAGGGAUUAUCCCAAGGAUAUCUGAGUAUUUUGGGUUUUCCAAGGUGUCUGGAAGACAGAGGAUCCAGAAGCAAGGUGCUCUGUGGGGCUGUGCAGGGUUUAAAGGGGAUCAGAGUCCCUGGGACUUGAGAAGCUGUUGGUUUCUUCCUUUUUUUUUUAUUUUAAUAUUUCUGAUAGGUUUUAAUUUUUUUUUAAUAUCAAGAGGGAAAAAAAACCCCAACAACCAAAAAAAAAACCAAAACAGCAGGAGAAGAACACAGGUUUAGCUUUUCCAUUGGAAGUAACUCCUCACAAAGGGAGAUGGGGAUAGCCACGGAUCAGUCCAGCCUGGCUGAGUCCCAAAGCAGGGUCAGCCUUAACCCUUGCAGUGCCUGGGUGAUGACAAAAUCUCCUUUUCCCAAGCGCUGGGACAGAUUGGACAAUUGGAAUAAUCAGCACUGCUGGGACUUGUUGGGUGCUGUGCUGCUGUCCUGAAUUCCCAAAAAGAAACGGGCUGCUUCCCAUGAGGGCUCAUAUCAGCACGGCGGGGGAGUUUGGGCAGGGAUUUUAGGCCAGGCUGGUGCUAAUUGAGAGAAGAUGAGGUGUCUGUGUGUAUAUAUGUGAAUGUGAAGGGGUUCCACACGUGCUCUAAACCCUCACAAAGCACCCAAACCUUCCCCUGACACCCCACAGCCACUCAGGUUUGUGGGGCUGGAGGGGGGAGCCUGUUCCUCCUGUGCCCCCACAGCCCCGAAGCAGCACCCAGAGAGGCCAAAUUCCUUUUGCAGGGUCUCAACCUGAGCUGCACUUGAAAGCUGGGGGGGUUAAACCCAGCAGAGGCAGGCUCAGGUCUUUGGCUCACAGAUUCUUUGUACAGCUCCUCCAGACUUCAGCAGGGACAGAGCUGGGAGCAGCCCCAGCCCUGGCUCUGAAUUUCCUCGUGUUGGUGCACAAGGGGAGAUUACCAGGGAGAGCAGAAGGCUGCACCCUGAACUCCUUGGGCACACCUCGUACAUCUCCUCUCUUUGUUUUCCCUCACAUCCCCAUCCCAAACCCUGUGCAAGCCUUUGACUGCCUGCAAACCUGCAGUGGGACUGCUACAAUUCCUUUAUAAUUCUCUUUUUUUUUUUUUUUUCCCUACAGAAACACAAGGGACAAACACAAUAAUUUCCAAGAAGCCAAAGCUUCCCUUUGGAGAAGCCAACAGGGACCUGCAGCAGAGUCCUGGUACGGUGUGUCAGUGACACUGAUUCCAUCUGACACCUGGGUGUCUCCAAAGCCAUCACAUUGUGUGCUGCAAAUGUAUAUUAACAUUAGUAUGCAUUGGCACAAUAUGGAUCCAUUAUUCCAAACGCUUCUGAGGACUAGGUGCUGCGUAGGAGCAGCUGCUGCUUUUUAAGCCUCAGAGCAUCAAUAGAUUCAUAGAUUUUAGGGCCAGAAGGGACCCCAGCGAGCCUGGAGCCUGACCUCCCACGGAGUGUGGGCUGGGGGUGAUUUUUGUGUCCUGCCCCACAACCUGUGGGCAGGCAGGCAGCAGCCUCCCCUGCGGCCAGCUGAGGGUUGAUGCCUCCCUCUGUAAAUUUGUUCCCUUGUUUUAGCACUCUCCUCGUUAAUCCUAAAAGGGCAGAUUUUAAUUUCAAAGCUCGGCUUGUGUAGGUCCAGCUUUCCACCCCUUGGAUUGCCUCCUCUGUAUAAGGAAACCCAUUUUCUCGCUUUUGUUGAAGUAGCGGCGGUGUUGGAGAAAAUAAAAAAAAAAUCAAUGUCCUGGAAUGUUGUCUAGAAAAAGGAUUGGUACUUCUUAAGGGUGGAAAUGGUACCUGGCAAGUGUUCAAAUUUUGGGUGAUUCCCUGACUGUAAGCACUUCAGCUUUAGUCUUUGUUUAAAAAGAAAUAAAUCUGCAUUUUGUAGAGAGGGGUGAUGCUGGAGGACUUUGGGUUUAUAGUGCUUCCAGAAAAUGAAAGCAAAGAGAGAAUGAAAACCCACUAAAUCAAUGAAAUAAAAAGAGCUGAAAGUCCUA